CUUCAGUUUCACAUUUAAGCUAUUUAAGCUAUUUAUGAAAAAUACAAUCAUUGCAUACAACAACACCAACAAUGCAGUUGUACCUGAAUUCCCAUAAUUUCCAAUCCAACACUACCCCCAAAAUCAGUACUCGUAUUCCUCCCAACGACCCCAAAACCAGAAGACCCAGCAAUCCCAAACGACGCCGCUCGGUACGCCAACGAGGCUAGCGGAAUUUUAGAGAAGCGUCCAGGAGUCUCAAUCUUAUCAUUGAUUCGUCCUUUUUCAAUAUCAGACGACUUGCAAUCUCAAUCCAUUGAGAAUUUGUUCAAGAUCGUACAAAUUCAAGUGGUUCGACUUUAUCUCGGAAUUUCUUUUCAAAAUUUGAAUUGGAACCCCAAAAUUCUAUCCGGUCCCCUCCCCCCAAAUUUCAACCCUAAAUUCUUUGGGUAUAUAUACCUCUCUUCCAUCUUUGCUGACGAGGGGGGAAAAUAGAGACAAAAAUUAGACAGGAAAACGAGGGAAAAAUAUGCGUAAGGAAUACAUGAAAUCGAUUGUGAAAGCGAAGAAAGUCGGCGUUCUUAACAAAUAAACCAGAGGUUUAGAGUCUAAAUUUUCUGGUUUACUUCUUGUCCAUCGUUGAGUCGUGGUGUGAAGCUUCGGUGUCGAGCUCCUCGUGUCCCAAGUUCGCUGCUCCUAAAAAGGGAAGCCUUAGAGUAACUGGUAAAGUUGCUGCCAUGUGACCUAGAGGUCACGGUUUCAAGCCUUGGAAACAACCUCUGGCAGAAAUGCAAGGUAAGAUUGCGUACAAUAGACCCUUGUGGUCGGGCCCUUCUCCGGACCCUGUGCAUAGCGGGAGCUUUAGUGCACCGGACUGUCUUUUUUUAUUUUUAUUCUAACUCUAACUCUAUAUUAAUUUAAUUAAAUCCCCUAAUGAGGAACUAUUUUUGUUA